CGCGUAGGCGGCGCACCAAGUCAGGCGUGAAAGCCCUGGGCUCAACCCGGGAAUUGCGCUUGAGACUGGUGUGCUUGAGUACGGGAGAGGAUAGUGGAAUUCCCAGUGUAGAGGUGAAAUUCGUAGAUAUUGGGAAGAACACCGGUGGCGAAGGCGGCUAUCUGGACCGUAACUGACGCUGAGGCGCGAAAAGCGUGGGGAGCAAACAGGAUUAGAUACCCUGGUAGUCCACGCCGUAAACGAUGAGUGCUAGACGUUGGGGCUCUUAGAGCUUCGGUGUCGCCGCUAACGCAUUAAGCACUCGCCUGGGGAGUACGGCCGCAAGGUUAAA
rnacentral:rRNA from 1 species